GGGGCAGCAGCUGGGCCAUCCCAGGCUGGUCACCCCGCUGGCUACUCACUUCUUCAGCCAGGGACAGAGCUGCGGGUUUGGGGGUCCACUGCCCCAGGGUUCUUCUUGUUCCCCCACCCACAGCCUUUUAAUUCCCUUGAGCCGCGGCUCCUACCACUCAGAGGUCUCCCCCCAUCUUCCUGUAUACUGUUUAUUUCUUUUUAUGACUGUCAAGGGUGAGAGCUGCUUGACAAGCUUUUGACUCUCCCCCCUCCCCACUGCCCCCUUCAGGGGAAUGGUGUUGGCGACAGUUUCCCUAUUUGGCUGGCCUGUUCUGCCACCAUCUCCCUGCUGUCCCUCCCCAGGCAAGCGCCUCAGAUGGUCUGCCUUGUCCCUAGGUGGCCUGGCUCUGGCCUGUGUCCCCAAGUCAGCUGGUCAGUCUGAGCUUGAGACGAGCGGAGAGCUGGGGAGAGGACCCUCCCCUUGGCUGUGUCCCCAGGAUUCAGGGGGGCCCUGUUCCUGCUGUAGAGUUCUCAGUCAGAACAGUCUGGGUUUGCUGUGUUCCCAUCACUUCUCACAGGAUCUCUGUGCAGGCGGGGAUGACCUGCAUCCUGACAUGUCCUGCAGGGUCAGACCAGGGUGCUGUUUCCCAUCACCCUCCUGAGUGGUGUGCUGAGCUCAGAGGAGGGCUCCUGCUG
rnacentral:lncRNA from 1 species